rnacentral:snRNA from 1 species
GUGUCUUUGUUUCGGCAGCACAUAUACUAAAUUUGGAACGAUACAGAGACGAUUAACAUCGCUCCUACGCAAGGAUGACAUACAAAUUCGUGACGCGUUCCAAAUUUUA